rnacentral:lncRNA from 1 species
AUAUCGAUGGAUAGAAAUGUUGAUUGGCUGUGUAAACAACGUCUCGAGUGAUGUCGAUGUAACAAUUCCAAGGACGAAUCUAGCGACGACUUAUGAAAUGGUCACGUGAUUAAAGAAAUCAAUGCCAUCGACUAUUAAGGCAGGGAGUUAGGAAUCUUCCGUAUAUAAAAUAAAGGUUUUAAUUUUAUUAAUUUUAUCAGCUUGGCCAUCACCUCAUCACCAGUGACGAGUCAAUUGGAAGGUUGAAAGAUGGAGUUCAAAGGGGUAGGAUCAGGACUGGACUAUUCCUUCAGUUGUUGUGCAAAUGCUUUACCACAAUGCCAUCUGGUCACUUAUCAUAUUAAGAUAAAAAUCAGGCAGCCUUAUCACAUUAAGACACUGGUUUCAAAACUUUCCAUGUUUACACCCCUCCCUUUUUCUAUAAAAAAUUGCUAUGCUUCUCAUUUUCAUAAUAGUCUAAUUUUAUAAAUACUUUCUAUUUACAAUUUAAUACUAUAAAAAAU